UUGCGGUUACAACAAGAACAACAACAGUAUACGCAUUAAUUCAAAUAUGAAUUUUGAAAAUUUUACUUCAUUAACCUAUUAAAUUUUCAGACGCUAAGAGGUCGAUUGACUGAUUUCAAGCACCAAAAAAUGAAGAAAUAAAGAGCAGAAUCUAAAUAGUAAGAAACAAAAAGGUUUCGUCAUCUUUUGCAAUAUCAAAAGACUUGAUAUGGCCACCACACCACCGCAUCGUUCGACCUUAGCUGAAUAAACCUAUACAGAUUUGGAAUGAGGACAAAAUGUAAGUUUUUAUUCUGUUAGGGAUCGUUGCCAAAUAUGUGAAAACCGUGUUGAAAUUAUGUGAGGUUUGAAUGGAAUUGCGGGUUAAUUAUGGAAGAAUUAACAUCGCAAUCGAGAUGAGGAAAGAAUGUAAAUUCAAUGAAAAGGCGCGAAUGUUAACUGAAAAUUGUGCCCUUUUUGUAACCACCUCUUGGAGGAACUGCAUUUGCAGCUAUUACGCAUUGAAUUCACCACAUUUCAGAAAACUUAAACACAUCUUGGAGGAAUUAGCCGACUUGCGAAAAUCACACCCCGGGGUGAGCUCGUCUAAUAACUUUGACAGCAAGAGAAGCAAAUUGAGCGAGAAUUAAAAAAAAAUAGUACGUACGGUAUUAGUUAUUUUCAAUUAUGGAACAGUGUUCCUUAAUUCAAACUGCGAGUAAUUGAAAAAUUAUUUCUUGCACUGUGGGAUGCGAACGAACGCCACUCCUUCGUAUAUCAAUAAACAGAAUCAGAAAUAUUUACUAUUUUAUUUUACAUUUAUUUUAAUAUGUAUUUAUAUAUGAAUGGAUUUAAAUGUUAUUAAUCACGCACUCGUAAAACGAGA